rnacentral:tRNA from 1 species
GUGUCGGUGGCAUAGUGGUAGAAUGCUUGCCAACCACGCAAGUGGUUCAGAGUUCGAUUCCCAGCCGACGCA